rnacentral:rRNA from 1 species
AUGCUUCUCCUAAAGACUAAGACAUGCAUGCCUCCGACUAGAAGAGCAAUUCUCUCCGAAUCUGCGAACGGCUCCGCAAACCAGUUGUAAACCAUAGCGAGCAUGCCCUUGGACCGGUCGAAAGGCUGGUCCUUGGGUGAUAAGGAUAACCCUGGUAAUUCUGAGGCUAAUACUUGACUGCAAAGCCUGGCUAACCGGGCAACCGGAAGGCUGGGGGACGUGUGAGUUGAUGCGCAAAUAUAGCUGGGAGUAGAUA